GAGUCGAGGUAUUGUUGAAAGUUUUUAUUUCCCUCUUACUCUCCUCUUCAAGACAACGCUACUUCCAGUUCCCGCCCUUGAUUCUGUACUGAAUUCCUGCAUUUCAAUUAUCAUUGUUGUGUAAAUUCGUUUCUUGAUUUUUACAUUCAAGAUCAAUCGCUAUAAUGCUUGGAAGAUCCUUUCAAGUUAUCGGAAUUCCAUGGCCCGAUCUCAACGACGGAUUGUUCUACAACGAUGUCGUUAAACCCUCCGACUCCGGGAUGUCUUUGAUCGAGUUCUAUUCUCGCAAAUAUAAGAGUUCGGCUCCACUGGAAGGCUGGUUGCAGCGAAUUCAGAACGAACAGAUAACGAUCGAUGGUCAGGUUAUCACAGAUCCCGAAACAAUUCUCAGGAUUGGUUCUGAAGUAGUUUAUCGUCGACUUCCGUGGAAAGAACCGGAUACCCCUUAUUUACUUGAGGUUCUAUAUGAAGACGAUGAAAUGAUUGCAUUAAAUAAACCGUCUGGCUUGCAAGUAUUACCUGGCGGCGUCUUCCAGCAACGGACAGUUUUGACGCAGCUUCAAUGGUGGUCAAGCAAGCAGAGUUCCUCCGUCUCAGAAGAGUUGCACCCUGUUCCUGUUCAUCGCCUAGGAAGGGGGACUUCAGGUAUAUUAUUAUGUGCAAAAACGAGGCUCGCUAGAACACAGUUUGCUGCAUAUUUUGCUGAUGGAACAUCCUGCGUUGGGAGAAACAGAAACAACACUAUGGAGGAAGGUACAAAGAGGAAAAUUUCAAAAAUAUACCGUGCACUUGUGGCUGGAAUAAUUCAUGAUGACGAGGUUAGCAUUGAUCAGCCAAUUGGAAGGAUGCGAUAUCCAGGGGUUGCUCAGGGCCUGUAUGUUGCUACUUCCUCAGGGAAACCAGCUUACAGUAAAGUCAAUGUUCUUGAGAGAGACGAACAAGGCAAACACACUUUGGUCCAGGUAGAAAUUCAGUCUGGACGACCCCACCAAAUCCGCAUCCACCUUUCUUCAAUAGGACAUCCUUUAAUAGGUGAUCCUCUCUAUGUUGCUGGCGGGCAACCAAACUGCCUUCAUUCUGAGUUGGUAGAUCAGAGUUUUGCAGAAGACGGAGGUUACCAAAGGCCUACGAAACCUGUGCCUGGAGAUUGUGGCUACUACUUGCACGCACAUCAGUUGGUCCUUCAUCACCCAAAAACCAGUGAGGUUGUCAAGAUCCUUGCCCCGCUUCCCCCUAUCCUCCGGACACAUGGGGAGUCUGAAGAUGCCGGAAAUAGAGUGGGAUAAAUAAAUCAUUGCAUGGUGGAUGUCAAGGCGAAAACUUUUCAUGUGGGAAUGAAUGAAUGAAAACUCGAUAAGAAUAAGGAUAACCAAUGGCCUGUUCUGAUCAAAUUCAACUUGGGAUUGAAAAAAGGAUGUCAACAUUAUUGGCGUUGUUGACGGCUCCCUUGGCUUGAACAGGGGCGAUCCAUAAAAGUGUUAACUCGCAGUGGGAUUUAUGUAAGAAACUGAAGAAUGUAAUAUUCUGAAGCAAUACUUGCCCUCUUUUUGCCCA